UUCCACAGCUUUCUUGAAUG
rnacentral:miRNA from 1 species